rnacentral:rRNA from 1 species
UACGAAGGGGGCUAGCGUUGCUCGGAAUGACUGGGCGUAAAGCGCGCGCAGGCGGUCUUCCAAGUCAGUGGUGAAAGCCCGGAGCUCAGCUCCGGAACUGCCAUUGAAACUGUUAGACUUGAGGACGAGAGAGGUGAGUGGAAUUCCCAGUGUAGAGGUGAAAUUCGUAGAUAUUGGGAAGAACACCGGUGGCGAAGGCGGCUCACUGGCUCGUAUCUGACGCUCAGGCGCGACAGCGUGGGGAUCAAACAGG